CUAGCUACAGGCUUAACACAUGCAAGUCGAGGGGCAGCAUGGUCUUAGCUUGCUAAGGCCGAUGGCGACCGGCGCACGGGUGAGUAACACGUAUCCAACCUGCCGUCUACUCUUGGACAGCCUUCUGAAAGGAAGAUUAAUACAAGAUGGCAUCAUGAGUCCGCAUGUUCACAUGAUUAAAGGUAUUCCGGUAGACGAUGGGGAUGCGUUCCAUUAGAUAGUAGGCGGGGUAACGGCCCACCUAGUCUUCGAUGGAUAGGGGUUCUGAGAGGAAGGUCCCCCACAUUGGAACUGAGACACGGUCCAAACUCCUACGGGAGGCAGCAGUGAGGAAUAUUGGUCAAUGGGCGAGAGCCUGAACCAGCCAAGUAGCGUGAAGGAUGACUGCCCUAUGGGUUGUAAACUUCUUUUAUAAAGGAAUAAAGUCGGGUAUGGAUACCCGUUUGCAUGUACUUUAUGAAUAAGGAUCGGCUAACUCCGUGCCAGCAGCCGCGGUAAUACGGAGGAUCCGAGCGUUAUCCGGAUUUAUUGGGUUUAAAGGGAGCGUAGAUGGAUGUUUAAGUCAGUUGUGAAAGUUUGCGGCUCAACCGUAAAAUUGCAGUUGAUACUGGAUAUCUUGAGUGCAGUUGAGGCAGGCGGAAUUCGUGGUGUAGCGGUGAAAUGCUUAGAUAUCACGAAGAACUCCGAUUGCGAAGGCAGCCUGCUAAGCUGCAACUGACAUUGAGGCUCGAAAGUGUGGGUAUCAAACAGGAUUAGAUACCCUGGUAGUCCACACGGUAAACGAUGAAUACUCGCUGUUUGCGAUAUACUGCAAGCGGCCAAGCGAAAGCGUUAAGUAUUCCACCUGGGGAGUACGCCGGCAACGGUGAAACUCAAAGGAAUUGACGGGGGCCCGCACAAGCGGAGGAACAUGUGGUUUAAUUCGAUGAUACGCGAGGAACCUUACCCGGGCUUAAAUUGCAGAUGAAUUACGGUGAAAGCCGUAAGCCGCAAGGCAUCUGUGAAGGUGCUGCAUGGUUGUCGUCAGCUCGUGCCGUGAGGUGUCGGCUUAAGUGCCAUAACGAGCGCAACCCUUGUUGUCAGUUACUAACAGGUUCCGCUGAGGACUCUGACAAGACUGCCAUCGUAAGAUGUGAGGAAGGUGGGGAUGACGUCAAAUCAGCACGGCCCUUACGUCCGGGGCUACACACGUGUUACAAUGGGGGGUACAGAGGGCCGCUACCACGCGAGUGGAUGCCAAUCCCCAAAACCUCUCUCAGUUCGGACUGGAGUCUGCAACCCGACUCCACGAAGCUGGAUUCGCUAGUAAUCGCGCAUCAGCCACGGCGCGGUGAAUACGUUCCCGGGCCUUGUACACACCGCCCGUCAAGCCAUGGGAGCCGGGGGUACCUGAAGUGCGUAACCGCGAGGAGCGCCCUAGGGUAAAACUGGUGACUGGGG
rnacentral:rRNA from 1 species